rnacentral:rRNA from 1 species
UACAGAGGUCUCAAGCGUUGUUCGGAUUCAUUGGGCGUAAAGGGUGCGUAGGCGGCGCGGGAAGGCGGGUGUGAAAUCUCGGAGCUUAACUCCGAAACUGCAUUCGAUACUGCCGUGCUUGAGGACUGGAGAGGAGACUGGAAUUUACGGUGUAGCGGUGAAAUGCGUAGAUAUCGUAAGGAAGACCAGUGGCGAAGGCGGGUCUCUGGACAGUUCCUGACGCUGAGGCACGAAGGUCAGGGGAGCAAACGGG